UUGCGAGUCGUCUACACCGCCGCCUGUUUUCUUUUGGGUUUUUAGGGUUUUUUUUUCCAGGCAGCGCCUGUAGGUAGAUGCAGAUAGUGUUUCUUUCAAAAGGGGAACGUUUCCUGGAACUAGCAAGCUUUUCCAUUUUCGAAACAGGAAUGUUUAGGAAUGUGUAGGCUCUCAAGAUGCUGUGCAUGGUUCUCUUCCUCCUCAUUUAAUCCUCACAAAAAAUCCUGUGAGGCUGAGAAGCAAUGACUGGCCCAAGACCACCCAGUGAGCUUCAUGGCCAAGUGGUGAUUUGAACUGUGGUCCUCCCGGUCCUAGUCUGAAACUCUAACCGCUGUUGGACUCCCAACUCCCAUCAGCCCCAGCCAACAAGAUUGUGGGAGAAGAAGCUCUAUUGCCUGCCAGGAAUGCAAGUCUGAAAACCGGCCAGGUGACAUGUGAUGUGAUUUUCACAGUCAUGGUAUUACAAAAGCCAGGAGGUAUCAUGUUGCAGAAUGCAAGCUGUACUUAUUAAUAAUUAUGUCAGUGUGCUGUACCUUGAUGAAACCAAAGCAUAUAGUUAGUCUGGUCAUGGCUCCAGAAAUUACCUUUUCACCUUAAUGUGGACUCUCAAGACUAUUUUUUGUACCUUAAUUUGUUUUGGGCGAGGGCCCUAAAAACUUGGUUUGAACCUGAGACUCUCCCUUGUCACCAUCUGACAAAAAUCAUACACUGCCAAAGCAGCAGCAGGAAGUUGCCUUUGAAGUGCUUUUUCAUGGCAAAAGAAACCACAUUUUUGCAUUAUGGAACUUUUCAAAAGAAAGCAAAACUUUAUAUAUUAAGUUCAUUUUAGCUGUAGCAUCCAGAUUGGAAGAAAAGCUCUCCUAGAGUCAGUGCUGGAUUUACGUAUAAACUAAACAAGCUAUAGCUUAGGGCCCCACACUCUUGG